AUUGAACGCUGGCGGCAUGCCUUACACAUGCAAGUCGAACGGCAGCACGGGAGCAAUCCUGGUGGCGAGUGGCGAACGGGUGAGUAAUAUAUCGGAACGUGCCCAGUCUGGGGGAUAACGUAGCGAAAGCUACGCUAAUACCGCAUACGAUCUAUGGAUGAAAGCGGGGGAUCGCAAGACCUCGCGCGAUUGGAGCGGCCGAUAUCAGAUUAGGUAGUUGGUGAGGUAAAGGCUCGCCAAGCCGACGAUCUGUAGCUGGUCUGAGAGGACGACCAGCCACACUGGACUGAGACACGGCCCAGACUCCUACGGGAGGCAGCAGUGGGGAAUUUUUGGACAAUGGGCGCAAGCCUGAUCCAGCAAUGCCGCGUGCAGGAUGAA
rnacentral:rRNA from 1 species